CCCGAAUGUUUCUGAGGUGAAAGGGGAAGCUGUGGUUAGCAGUCUGAUAGGAUGUUUCAGAUAAUGGUCACAGCUCUUGCGCAUCUCACUGGCUGCCCACAGCACCGUGGCUAUGUUUGCACCUAGACUCAUUGUAUGCCGUGUGGAUGGC